rnacentral:rRNA from 1 species
GACGAACGCUGGCGGCGUGCUUAACACAUGCAAGUCGAACGAUGAACCCGGAGCUUGCUCCGGCGGAUUAGUGGCGAACGGGUGAGUAACACGUGAGUAACCUGCCCUUGACUCUGGGAUAACUGCGGGAAACUGUAGCUAAUACCGGAUACGACCCUCGGCGGCAUCGCCAGGGGGUGGAAAGAAUUUCGGUCAAGGAUGGACUCGCGGCCUAUCAGCUAGUUGGUGAGGUAACGGCUCACCAAGGCGACGACGGGUAGCCGGCCUGAGAGGGUAACCGGCCACACUGGGACUGAGACACGGCCCAGACUCCUACGGGAGGCAGCAAUGGGGAAUAUUGCACAAUGGGCGCAAGCCUGAUGCAGCAACGCCGCGUGAGGGAUGACGGCCUUCGGGUUGUAAACCUCUUUUAGUAGGGAAGAAGCGAAAGUGACGGUACCUGCAGAAAAAGCACCGGCUAACUACGUGCCAGCCGCCGCGGUAA